UACGUAGGGUGCGAGCGUUGUCCGGAAUUAUUGGGCGUAAAGGGCUCGUAGGCGGUGUGUCGCGUCGGUCGUGAAAACUUGGGGCUUAACUCUGAGCUUGCGGUCGAUACGGGCAUCACUUGAGUUCGGCAGGGGAGACUGGAAUUCCUGGUGUAGCGGUGAAAUGCGCAGAUAUCAGGAGGAACACCGGUGGCGAAGGCGGGUCUCUGGGCCGAUGACUGACGCUGAGGAGCGAAAGCGUGGGGAGCAAACAGG
rnacentral:rRNA from 1 species